GCUUCCUAACAAAGCUUUCCGAGAUUUUUUUGGAUUUUAAAUUUUGAAUUGAAACACACGGAUUCAAAAUUUCAAAUUCAAACUUCUCAUUUUUUUCACUUUUAUCUUUCUUAAAUCUGAGAUCACAUUCAUUCACUCCUAAUACUCUUUAGUUCUACAUAUCUCAUCUUUUGACCUGCUUUGUUUGCAUUUUUGCCGACAUAUUUUUAAUAUAUGAUUUUAGAGAUUUGUACUAAUUAAUUUCAAAUGUUAUGUAUGUAGAUUUGUAAUUGAAAAUCAUAUGUAUCAGUCUUUGAUUGCAGCAGAUGUGACGAAUCUCAUAAUAUCCGAGGUGUUUGAUUGGAGUUCCGGGAGAGAAUGUGUGUUCGAUUAUUAAGUGUUCAAACCAGUUAGGUUACAUAUGUUUUUUUGCAUACCUUGCAAAGUCGGGCAAUCAAACUUCAUAAAGCGUGACUGCAGAAUGUGUUUAGAUUGAUUUGAAUCAUGUAGACCGUAUGUGGUGCCUGAUGUGGUAUAUGUAGAGGCCUGAGCUUGGUUGUAUGUGUAUUCAGAAAAAAGCAAAAGAGGAGGAACCAGAUGAGAAUAAUACAAGAAGAUUGUUCAAACGGUACAUGCUUUUAGUACUCAUCAACCAGAUGGCUUCUGCAUUGUUCCGGUGUAUUGUAGCAUUGGGCAGGAGUUUGAUUAGCAUUGGGCAGGAGGUUGAUUGUCUCAAGGACGUUUGUUCAUUUGCAUUGCUUAUACUAUUUGCACUUUGUGGCUCCGUGUUGUCACGAGAUAAAGACUACAAAUUCGAAAUAUAUUUGAGCCAAAAUCUGAAACAAGAUUUGUAUCCAUUGUGAUCAAAGUAACAAUGCAGUGGAAGAAGAAUGAUAGGUUUAACUAGAAAAAAGAAGAUGAAAUUUGCUGUUUUUUGAAUGAUCUUCAUACUACGAUUUAAGAGAUGUGUGUUUAUAAAAUAUUUACACAACAUAUAUUUCUCUUAUCA